AUUGAACGCUGGCGGCAUGCCUUACACAUGCAAGUCGAACGGUAACGCGGGGCAACCUGGCGACGAGUGGCGAACGGGUGAGUAACGCAUCGGAACGUGCCCAGUAGUGGGGGAUAGCCCGGCGAAAGCCGGAUUAAUACCGCAUACGACCUACGGGUGAAAGAGGGGGAUCGCAAGACCUCUCGCUAUUGGAGCGGCCGAUGUCAGAUUAGGUAGUUGGUGGGGUAAAGGCCUACCAAGCCUACGAUCUGUAGCUGGUCUGAGAGGACGACCAGCCACACUGGGACUGAGACACGGCCCAGACUCCUACGGGAGGAAGCAGUGGGGAAUUUUGGACAAUGGGCGCAAGCCUGAUCCAGCCAUGCCGCGUGCGGGAAGAAGGCCUUCGGGUUGUAAACCGCUUUUGUCAGGGAAGAAACGCUCUGGACUAAUACUCUGGGGUAAUGACGGUACCUGAAGAAUAAGCACCGGCUAACUACGUGCCAGCAGCCGCCGUAA
rnacentral:rRNA from 1 species